rnacentral:rRNA from 1 species
UAAGGAAUAUUGGUCAAUGGAGGCAACUCUGAACCAGCCAUGCCGCGUGCAGGAAGAAGGCCCUAUGGGUCGUAAACUGCUUUUGAACAAGAGAAAACCCCGGUACGUGUACUGGGUUGAUAGUAUUGUUAGAAUAAGCAUCGGCUAACUUCGUGCCAGCAGCCGCGGUAAGACGAAGGAUGCAAGCGUUAUCCGGAUUCAUUGGGUUUAAAGGGUGCGUAGGCGGACUGAUAAGUCAGUGGUGAAAUCUCUCGGCUUAACCGAGAAACUGCCAUUGAUACUGUUAGUCUAGAGUACAGAUGAUGUGGGCGGAAUAUGACAUGUAGUGGUGAAAUACUUAGAUAUGUCAUAGAACACCGAUUGCGAAGGCAGCUCACAAAACUGUAACUGACGCUGAGGCACGAAAGUGCGGGGAUCAAACAGGAUUAGAUACCCACGUAGUCCCUGAGCGGGCUGGCAAGGCGCAU